rnacentral:pre_miRNA from 1 species
AGGGGGAGGCCGGAUCCUGGGCUGUGUCCCCGGCGCCCUGUGCUCCUGGGCCUGCGCUGGUGGAUUUGCACUCCCGGUGGCGCAGCCCCCU